rnacentral:rRNA from 1 species
ACAGGGAUUGCCCUAGUAACGGCGAGUGAAGCGGCAACAGCUCAAAUUUGAAAUCUGGCUCUUUUAGGGUCCGAGUUGUAAUUUGCAGAGGGCGCUUUGGCGUUGGCAGCGGUCCAAGUUCCUUGGAACAGGACGUCACAGAGGGUGAGAAUCCCGUACGUGGUCGCUGGCCUUCGCCGUGUAAAGCCCCUUCGACGAGUCGAGUUGUUUGGGAAUGCAGCUCUAAAUGGGAGGUAAAUUUCUUCUAAAGCUAAAUACUGGCCAGAGACCGAUAGCGCACAAGUAGAGUGAUCGAAAGAUGAAAAGCACUUUGGAAAGAGAGUCAAAUAGCACGUGAAAUUGUUGAAAGGGAAGCGCUUGCAGCCAGACUUGCCUGUAGUUGCUCAUCUGGGCUUUUGUCCAGUGCACUCUUCUACAGGCAGGCCAGCAUCAGUUUGGGCGGUUGGAUAAAGGUCUCUGUCACGUACCUCCCUUCGGGGAGGCCUUAUAGGGGAGACGACAUGCAACCAGCCUGGACUGAGGUCCGCGCAUCUGCUAGGAUGCUGGCGUAAUGGCUGUAAGCGGCCCGUCUUGAAACACGGACCAAGGAGUCUAACAUCUAUGCGAGUGUUUGGGUGUCAAGCCCGGACGCGUAAUGAAAGUGAACGGAGGUGGGAACCCUUUUAGGGUGCACCAUCGACCGAUCCUGAUGUCUUCGGAAGGAUUUGAGUAAGAGCAUGGCUGUUGGGACCCGAAAGAUGGUGAACUAUGCUUGAAUAGGGUGAAGCCAGAGGAAACUCUGGUGGAGGCUCGCAGCGGUUCUGACGUGCAAAUCGAUCGUCAAAUUUGGGCAUAGGGCGAAAGACUAAUCGAACUAUCUAGUAGCUGGUUCCUGCCGAAG